UGUCUUAAUGUAUAUUUUAUAUUAAGUUUAACCUGCUCAAUGAUUAUUAAUUAAAUAGCCGCAGUAUUUUGACUGUGCGAAGGUAGCAUAAUCACUUGUCUUUUAAUUGAAGGCUUGAAUGAAUGGUUGGAUGAGAAAAUAACUUUCUUUAUAUUAUAAUGUAUAAUUUAAUUUUUAAGUUAAAAAGCUUAAAUUAUAUAGUGGGACGAGAAGACCCUAUAGAAUUUUAUUUAUUUAUUUAAAAAUUAAAUGUUGGGAAAUAUAUUUUUAUUUUUAAAUUAUAAAUUUUGUUGGGGUGACAUUGAGAUUUUUUUAACUCUCAUAUUUUAUAUUUUAUUAAUUUAUAUACAUAUAAUCCUUUAUUAAGGAAUUUAGAUUAAAUUACCUUAGGGAUAACAGCGUAAUUUUUUUGGAGAGUUCUUAUCGAUAAAAAAGUUUGCGACCUCGAUGUUGGAUUAAAAUUAGAUUUAAGUGCAGAAGCUUAAUUUCUAGGUCUGUUCGACCUUUAAAAUUUUACAUGAUCUG
rnacentral:rRNA from 1 species